AUACAGGAAAUUGAAUAACUACCAUGAGAUGGAGAAAUACAGUGAAAGAAUUGUCUGGGAUUCUGACAAACAUCCCACAUGGGCAAAGGCACAGGACCUUGCAGCUGCCACCAACCAGCUGAUCGGUGGUGCCUGCCAACCCUGCUUUCAGCAGGGACCCAUGUUUUUACCUGCCAUACAGGUAGGCAUGGCUUGGAGACAACAAGGGGAGGGGGGGUUAUUGGUUUGUUUGUUCUUGCUCUCGUUUUUAAUUAUGUUUUUUUUUUUUAUCUUGUAUUUUUAAUGCUGUGAACUGCACUGAGAUCUUUGGAUGAAGGGUGGUAUAAAAAUAAAAUAAUAAAAUAAAAUAAACAGCCUCACGGGCUGGGCCUAUUGAGGCUUGUGAACUAGAGGUUCUCCACUGCUGGUUGGGGUAUUCCAGCAAGGCAUAGAGGCAGCAGCCCUGUUCAAUUCCUGCUCCUGAACAACAAGCUCCAUUAGUCACUGUUUGUUGUGGCAGUGAAUCCCACACAAUCAUUAUGAGUUGUGUGUAGUACUUUGUUUAAAUCAAGGCCACAUUCACACGAUACAUUUAAAGCACUAUGAUAAAGUCAUUUAAAGUCAUUGCUACCCCCCCCCCCCAAUUCUUGAAGUUGUAUCUUGUUAAAGGUGUUGAAAGUUCUUAGGAGAGUUAAUUUUCUGCGAAGAGGGGUUGAUUGUUAAGCUCUGUGAGAAGAAUAGGGGUCUCCUAACAAUUCUCAGCACUCUUAACAAACUACAGCUCCCAGAGUCCUUUGGGGGAAGCCGUUACCAUUGAAGGUCGUAUUAUAGGGCUUUAAAUGUAUGGUGUCAAUGUGGCCAUAAUCUGCUGCUGCCAGCUGCUGUGCAAUUAUGAAUCCAGAUCGGAUUGUUUUGCUGAAACUAUAUGUUUUUAUAAGCACCUCUGCCUUGCUCCACCAUUGGUGAAGUAAAGUAACAGGCAUGUGGUUCCUUCUAAUUGUUCCAAAGGGAGUAGAGAUUAAAAAUGCAAAAGGAAGAAGUACUAUUGUUGCUUUGAGAAAAUUCCACAGAGUUCUAGAGAUUCGUGGUUGGAUCCUGUGCCUGCUACACUUGUGUUGUGCUUUUCCUGUAAUUUCUGGGUCACUCUUAACAACAAGGUGAACAUAAACUUUCUGGUAUUUUAUGUUAAUUUACAAAACACUACAAAGUGCAAUAAACUCCAGAUUAGGGAUCACUCUUGCUUUUCUCUUGAACUGCUAUUGUCACCUACAGUUCCACCUGUAGUCACAGAAAGUAGUUUGCUAAUGUGAUAAAAGGCAACUGGGAAUGUUUUCUUUAAAAGACGCUAAAAGGGGAGAGGGGGAAUUGCACUGUUCAAAGCUACAAUAAACUUGCAUCAGAGCUUUGUUCCUUGCCCUGCCCUAAUGACUCAAUGGAAAUUAGUCAGGCUUCUUCAGAAUCUUCUGGAUGUGCAAUCAUCUUCACUUGACUGGACCAAGGCAGCUAUUCAGAAAGAAAAGGCCUUGGCUAUAUGUGGCAACCAUUCAUCUCACAGAUUGCAUCACUCCUUUACAGCCACACUGUGUUUCAACUGGCAAAAAUAUUAGAAACAAGGUAUUCUUGCGACAGCUACUUUUGAUUCACUGUAAAUGUAAUCAGCAGCCCAGUGAGGAAAACGGACAGAGCUAGGUAUUCUUAGCUUGGAGAAGAAAAUGUUGUGGAUGGACAUGGUAAAAAGGUAAAGGUAAAGGGACCCCUGACCAUUAGAUCCAGUCAUGACCAACUCUGGGGCUGCUGUGCUCAUCUCGCUUUAUUGGCUGAGGGAGCCGCCAUACAGUGGUCAUGUGGCCGGCAUGAUUAAGCCGCUUCUGGUGAAACCAGAGCAGUGCAUGGAAACGCCAUUUACCUUCCCGCCGGAGUGGUACCUAUUUAUCUACUUGCACUUUGACGUGCUUUCGAACUGCUAGGUUGGCAGGAGCAGGGAUCGAGGAACGGGAGCUCACCCUGUCGCAGGGAUUCAAACCGCUGACCUUCUGAUCAGCAAGUCCUAGGCUCUGUGGUUUAACCCACAGCGCCACCCGCGUCCUGGAUGGACAUGGUAGUGAUCUUCAAAUGUCUGAAGGAAUGUCAUAUGGAAGAUGGAAGGCCUGCUCUCCAUUGCUCCAGGGCAAGAUAAGAACCAAUGGCUGGAAAUUGCAAGGAAGCAUAUUUCAAAUAAGCACUAGGAUAAACUUCCUAAUGAUCCACAGCACGGAAUUGCCUUCUUCCUAACUGCUAUACUCUGAACUGACAUUUCCUUUGAGCAAUCCAUCACAACUUCCAAGACUUCUUUUCUAGGAAAUCACCACCAUUGCUAGCAAACUAAUCAGUAUAUGUGAAGUUCAUGGGUUUUGUCUCUAUGUACUUCCCGUCACACUUAGUUUACCCCUCACAGAGCUACAAUUCUCAGCACCCUACAUAAAUUAAACUUCCCAUGAUUCUCUGGGAGAAAGCUAUGUGCUUUAAAUGUGCUUUAAAUGUAUGGUGUGUGUGUGUGUGUAGACCUCAUUUGGGCAAGGCUUUGAUGUUUUUAAAGGAAACUCCUUGCCUUUUAUAGCUUCCAUGACUCUUCUCGUUAACUACUAUGGUAUCAUAUUGGUACCUUUCCUGAGUUGUGAUAUUCUAGCCAAACUUUUAUUAAUCUGUUUUAAAACAAACAAACCCAAUGCUCCAAACUUCUUUGAGAGAUUUCAGCCUGUUGACUCCCAUUUUCAGCUCCUUGUAUUAUUGAGAAGUUUCCUGUUUUGAAAUCAGUAAUACAGUGGUUGUUGUUUAGUCGUUUAGUCGUGUCCGACUCUUCGUGACCCCAUGGACCAGAGCACGCCAGGCACUCCUGUCUUCCACUGCCUCCCGCAGUUUGGUCAGACUCAUGUUUGUAGCUUCGAGAACACUGUCCAACCAUCUCGUCUUCUGUCGUCCCCUUCUCCUUGUGCCCUCCAUCUUUCCCAGCAUCAGGGUCUUUUCCAGGGAGUCUUCUCUUCUCAUGAGGUGGCCAAAGUAUUGGAGCCUCAGCUUCACGAUCUGUCCUUCCAGUGAGCACUCAGGCCUGAUUUCCUUAAGAAUGGAUAGGUUUGAUCUUCUUGCAGUCCAUGGGACUCUCAAGAGUCUCCUCCAGCACCAUAAUUCAAAAGCAUCAAUUCUUCGGCGAUCAGCCUUCUUUAUGGUCCAGCUCUCACUUCCAUACAUCACUACUGCGAAAACCAUGGCUUUAACUAUAUGGACCUUUGUUGGUAAGGUGAUGUCUCUACUUUUUAAGAUGCUAUCUAGGUUUGCCAUCGCCUUUCUCCCAAGGAGCAGAUGUCUUUUAAUUUCAUGACUGCUGUCACCAUCUGCAGUGAUCAUGGAGCCCAAGAAAGUAAAAUCUCUCACUGCCUCCAUUUCUUCCCCUUCUAUUUGCCAGGAGGUGAUGGGACCAGUGGCCAUGAUCUUCAUUUUUUUGAUGUUGAGCUUCAGACCAUAUUUUGCACUCUCCUCUUUCACCCUCAUUAAAAGGUUCUUUAAUUCUUCCUCACUUUCUGCCAUCAAGGUUGUGUCAUCUGCAUAUCUGAGGUUGUUGAUAUUUCUUCCGGCGAUCUUAAUUCCGGCUUGGGAUUCAUCCAGCCCAGCCUUUCGCAUGAUGAAUUCUGCAUAUAAGUUAAAUAAGCAGGGGGACAAUAUACAGCCUUGCUGUACUCCUUUCCCAGUGGUACCUCGGGUUAAGUACUUAAUUCGUUCCGGAGGUCCAUACUUAACCUGAAACUGUUCUUAACCUGAAGCACCACUUUAGCUAAUGGGGCCUGCUGCUGCCGCCGCCCCGCCGGAGCACGAUUUCUGUUCUCAUCCUGAAGCAAAGUUCUUAACCUGAAGCACUAUUUCUGGGUUAGCAGAGUCUGUAACCUGAAGCGUAUGUAACCUGAGGUACCACUGUAUUGCACUUUCUUGGAAAAAAUUCCUCUUGUGUGUACAUUGAAUUCAAUAGCACUGUGAUCAUUCUUGUUUGGUUCAACAACCCUCAUAUCUUUAUCCAGGGCUAGGGAACUAUUCAGGAUUAAUUCUCCUCUAGGCACUUCCAUGACCCAAUUAUUCUAAGGCAAUUACGAUACUGAGAACAACAUGUUUUGUUUGCUAUGACCCACAUAUUUAUUUGCCCACAUAUUUAUUUGCCCAAGUAGUAUAAGCAAUUGACACUGUCCAUCAUUACAACACUUUCCCCUAGGGCUGCCUCCCUGAUUCCUUGAUCUCAAGAGCACCUCCUCUGGUGGGAGGAAUAAUAUGCAGCAGCAUCUCAUAUGGUGACAGCAGGGCACCAUCCCUCAGACAGCUGCUGAUAGUCCACCACUGCUAACCGCCCUGGACCCCUUUUCUGGUACUCCAGUAAAUAUAAUCAACCAUUAGUGCAGUUAUCCACAGUGCCUCAGAGCAAGGCUACAGCACUCUGGUAAAUUGCACUGAUGAAUCUUAUUAACUGCGCCCUUCCGUUGUCUUGAGGGUUCUGCGUGGGUUGCUGGUGUCCUUCAGGCUUUUGGUUCAGCAACAUAUUACUCUUUACAAAGUGCACACAAUGACUGUCACAUGACAAGAGGGACUACAAGUCACACUAACUUCCCUUUUUGAUGCUUUGUUCUGUGAAAUAGCUCCUAGCAGAGUGCUAAUAUUAGUCCAUUGACUUCAAAAUCAAGAGGCAUAUUUAGACCGCAAAAUAUAAGACAUGACUGUGCUAGGCCGUCUUGCUGUAAAUCCACUUGGCAUUUACCUAUUGCAACAAAACCUUCUCCUCAAGAUAAAAUGUACAUUAUAAAGGUUGGUUAACAUAAUCCCAAGGGCAUUCGGCUCUAUCAAAAUGUGUUUUAUCCUUAGCACAGUGCUCACAGUUGUCCUGAUCUGCUGCCAGUCGCACAAUAUCUUGUCAUAUUAAGGUGGGGGGUGUACAUCCACUGCUGCACCAGAAACCAGGUCUGCACAGCUCCCAAUUGGACUGAGAACUGAGCAUGCAUGCAGUGCCAAACAAAGUGAUCAGCAAUGCUAGAGUUAAAUAGUGGCAACCAAAAACCGUUCAGAACAAAACAAACAAAGCAAAGUGCAUUGAUGAAAACAAAUGAACCUGUUUUAUUUAAGACCUUUUUAAAAAUAUCUCCCUUCAUUAAAACCUCCAGGGUGCUUUACAGACAGUGUAAUUCAACUUACAUAGAAGUCAGUGCAUUAAAGGCAUAAAACAUACAGUAUCCACAGUAGCUAAAAGCUUGGUAUUGACAUCCAGCAAAUACUGCUGGAUUACAGCCCCAGGAAACAUGACUAAUGGUCAGGAAUGAUGGGAUUUAUAGUUGAAAACAUCUGGAAGGCACCAGAUUAGGAAAGGCUGGUCUAAUUACAAUGCUGGAGUUGGAGCACAGAAAUUAUGCACUCUUAACAUCAUUAUAACAGGGUGGUUAUUCCAUUAUGUUAAGUACAAAUUUAAACUGAGGGCUUAUCCACACCUCUGUUUGCUCUGCCACUUUCUCCCCGGUGGAACCUGUGGUUUAGCACUGAAUUGACACAAAUGGCAAUUGGGUUUUCUGUGCAUUGUUUAGUGCUAAAUUGGGGCAAAGUGGUGGAGCAAAGGCAAAACCAUUCAGACCCAUGCUUUCUAGACACGGGACAAAAAGAAGUGUGGAUGAACCCUAAAUCUGAACCAGUACAACAGUCAUGGUUUCUGCCCUAGGAACCUGUAAAUUAUUUCAGGAAAAGGGAUGCACAUGAAGUAC